AAGUGAUCCACAAGAAAUUGCUCACUGUCAUCUUAUCAAUGCCCAGCUAGCCUCCAAGCAGUGGAACAGAGAGAGAGAGAGAGAUGAACUCCCACCCCUCUUAAAAACUCCUUCUGCUUGAUGCCAUCGUAUAUGGAAUAUCCCUUUGGCAGUUUAAGUCAGCUCUCCUGAUUCUGUUCAUUCUGAGCUCCUUAGGCCCUUUGCUGUGAAUAGCCUUCUGUACAAUAUUGUUUAGCAGCAACUAUAAGCAUCGGUGUGUUAUCAGUGUUGUUCUUCUCAUACCAAAUGUAUGAGAACCAAAAUGUAGCAUCAUACCAGACACUUUGAAGAAAACAAUUACAUCCCAGCUGACAAGAUCUUAUUUUAAGGGAAAAUAAGGGUAAAAUGAUGACAAUAGGCCUCUCUUCAUUUCUCUUGAAAGUCCAAUGUUUGAAUAAUCUGAUUUCUGGUUUCAGUAUAUGCAUAAUUAAAUUGCUGGAUUAUCCAUGAUUGUAUUGCUUGUAUGCUCAUAUACGUUAGUUUUAUGCAUUUAGUAUUCUACAGACAUACUUAAUUAUUUCACCACCUGUGUAUUAUAUUUCAGGAAAAAGUGGCUUGAAUUUGGAAGAACCGUCAGCAAGAAGUCUUGAGUCGAAAGCUACUGGUACCAGUAUUAAGGAUGUGCUUAAAGAACAGAAAUUCUUAGAAAAAAAAGUAGCUUUGAGCAGAAAAAGAAAAAGAGAUUCAAGGCAUGUUGAAGAUAGUUGGAAAAAGAAAUACGAGCCAUCUGAAGAUGAUUCUAAGGAAGUGCAAAAGACAAAUGAGGUAUGUGUCUCUUUAGGCUAAUAAAUUAAUUUCAAAAAGAACUACUAUUAUUAUCUUUUUAAUUGUAAUAAUACUUGUUUGUACACCCAUACCAAACUGCAUACUAUUGCAGCAUUUGUUCUUAUGAAUUGUUUUUUUUCUGCUAGUGCUCUAACAUUACAGCAAUUUUGUUUUCUGAAUUCUAGUAAACGCUAGGUUGCAUUGUUUAUGUAUUUGGUGCUGAUUUGUUUUGUACUGGAAGGGGGAGGGGA
rnacentral:lncRNA from 1 species